CCUACGGGAGGCAGCAGUAGGGAAUAUUGGGCAAUGGAGGCAACUCUGACCCAGCCAUGCCGCGUGCAGGAUGAAGGCGUUAUGCGUUGUAAACUGCUUUUAUAUAGGAAGAAACAGACCUUGCGAGGUAAAUUGACGGUACUAUAUGAAUAAGCACCGGCUAACUCCGUGCCAGCAGCCGCGGUAAUACGGAGGGUGCAAGCGCUGUCCGGAUUUAUUGGGUUUAAAGGGUGCGUAGGCGGUUUAUUAAGUCAGUGGUGAAAGACGGUCGCUCAACGAUUGCAGUGCCAUUGAUACUGGUAGACUUGAGUAUGAUUGAGGUAGCUGGAAUGGAUAGUGUAGCGGUGAAAUGCAUAGAUAUUAUCCAGAACACCAAUUGCGAAGGCAAGUUACUAAGUCAUAACUGACGCUGAUGCACGAAAGUGUGGGUAUCAAACAGGAUUAGAUACCCUGGUAGUCCACACUGUAAACGAUGAUAACUAACUGUUGGCUUUUGGGUCAGUGGUACAGAGAAAUCGUUAAGUUAUCCAACCUGGGGAGUUACGCGGNAACGGUUGAACUUCAAGGAUUGAGGCUUGGAGAGNGCGAGCGCGACGAGGAGGAGG
rnacentral:rRNA from 1 species